CCUAAGAGUAAGGGGUAUGGGUAACAGAUAUUUAGUGCUUGAUUUCCCUGUAAUAUAAGUCUUGAACAAGUAUAAUUUGAAUAACUUGACUAAGUCUCAAAGACCCUCACAGACAGGAAUAAAAGACCACAGUACAUAGUAGAUGUUUGGAAUCUUAGAGCACAAACAAUGUCAAAACAAAUGUUUAGUAUUGAUAGACAAAAAUGCCAGGUGGGAAUCUUGAACUAAUAGGAGCAACUGGCCAUGCCUCACUCCCAAAAUCUGGAGUUGCUUCCCCACCUUCUGUAUAGUCCUUUGUCUUCUGGAGAAAGGCAGAAGACAUAAACAUCUUUGAUAGAUCACAGUGAAUCUCAUGUCCUGACCACUUUUCCUUUUCCUGGCAUUUUAUCACAGUGGAAGGAGGAAGGCUUAGAUAACAUCUCUGCCACUUACUGUCUAAUCUUGGGCAAGUCUCAACCUCUUUGAGCUUCUCUUUCCCCCUAGAUUAGAGAACAUGUAUCUGAAAGUAUUUUAUAAAUCAAAUCACUAAACAGAUAUUUGCUUUUUUAUUUAGCUUCUAAUUUGCCUUCCUUUCCCUGGGUGCUAAUAUGGUUAAUGUCUUGUCUGCUAGUCCUGAUCUCUCUAAGCAUUAGAGAAUUGUCUUAAUAGUCAGCAGGAGUACUAUUUCCUUACCAAGUCUUGGUGAAUUUGACCCCUACUGGUAGUAUCCAAGGAAGAAGAGGUAGUCUGUAGGCCAAUAAAAUUCUUAACUAGCUAUUUAGUAGCAAUUGCUUACAGCUUAGUAGUGUUUUACAGU
rnacentral:lncRNA from 1 species